rnacentral:tRNA from 1 species
GCAGCGGUAGUCUAGUGGUCAAGACGUCUUGUAAAAAUCGUCUUGCAAACACAAGCUUGAUUGUGUAGCUAACCCUCACUAUGUGAUCAUGACACUGCAUAUAUCUCAAGAAGAUCGUAGGUUCGAUUCCUACUCGCUGCA